rfam:Capnocytophaga sp. oral taxon 329 str. F0087 C_spHMPREF9074-1.0_Cont40.1, whole genome shotgun sequence.
UAACCUCUGGCGAGAGUCGUGAAUGUUG